rnacentral:miRNA from 1 species
AUUGCACUUGUCUCGGUCCGA